CCUACGGGGGGCAGCAGUGAGGAAUAUUGGUCAAUGGACGAGAGUCUGAACCAGCCAAGUAGCGUGAAGGAUGACUGCCCUAUGGGUUGUAAACUUCUUUUAUAUGGGAAUAAAAUGUUCCACGUGUGGGAUUUUGUAUGUACCAUAUGAAUAAGGAUCGGCUAACUCCGUGCCAGCAGCCGCGGUAAUACGGAGGAUCCGAGCGUUAUCCGGAUUUAUUGGGUUUAGAGGGAGCGUAGGUGGAUUGUUAAGUCAGUUGUGAAAGUUUGCGGCUCAACCGUAAAAUUGCAGUUGAAACUGGCAGUCUUGAGUACAGUAGAGGUGGGCGGAAUUCGUGGUGUAGCGGUGAAAUGCUUAGAUAUCACGAAGAACUCCGAUUGCGAAGGCAGUUCACUGGACUGCAACUGACACUGAGGCUCGAAAGUGUGGGUAUCAAACAGGAUUAGAUACCCCAGUAGUC
rnacentral:rRNA from 1 species